AACGAACGCUGGCGGCAUGCCUAACACAUGCAAGUCGAACGAGAUCUUCGGGUCUAGUGGCGCACGGGUGCGUAACGCGUGGGAAUCUGCCCUUUGGUUCGGAAUAACAGUUGGAAACGACUGCUAAUACCGGAUGAUGACGAAAGCCCAAAGAUUUAUCGCCAGAGGAUGAGCCCGCGUAGGAUUAGCUAGUUGGUGUGGUAAAGGCGCACCAAGGCGACGAUCCUUAGCUGGUCUGAGAGGAUGAUCAGCCACACUGGGACUGAGACACGGCCCAGACUCCUACGGGAGGCAGCAGUGGGAAAUAUUGGACAAUGGGCGAAAGCCUGAUCCAGCAUGCCGCGUGAGUGAUGAUGGCCUUAGGGUUGUAAAGCUCUUUUACCCGGGAUGAUAAUGACAGUACCGGGAGAAUAAGCUCCGGCUAACUCCGUGCCAGCCGCCGCCGUAA
rnacentral:rRNA from 1 species